ACGCACGCUGGCGGCGUGCCUCAUACAUGCAAGUAGAACGCUGAAGAGAGGAGCUUACUCUUCUUGGAUGAGUUGCGAACGGGUGAGUAACGCGUAGGUAACCUGCCUUGUAGCGGGGGAUAACUAUUGGAAACGAUAGCUAAUACCGCAUAACAAUGGAUGACACAUGUCAUUUAUUUGAAAGGGGCAAUUGCUCCACUACAAGAUGGACCUGCGUUGUAUUAGCUAGUAGGUGAGGUAAUGGCUCACCUAGGCGACGAUACAUAGCCGACCUGAGAGGGUGAUCGGCCACACUGGGACUGAGACACGGCCCAGACUCCUACGGGAGGCAGCAGUAGGGAAUCUUCGGCAAUGGGGGCAACCCUGACCGAGCAACGCCGCGUGAGUGAAGAAGGUUUUCGGAUCGUAAAGCUCUGUUGUAAGUCAAGAACGGGUGUGAGAGUGGAAAGUUCACACUGUGACGGUAGCUUACCAGAAAGAGACGGCUAACUACGUG
rnacentral:rRNA from 1 species